GUAGUCCUGAGAUGCGCGUGAGACUUAGUUGUUCAACCGACAUUAUUUGAAAGGGACCUUUAAGAUUCAAAGUAAUGCCAAGCUGCUGACGCUGAUAAUUAGAUUAGCUAAAUUGUAGUAGGCAGAAGGUUGAUGAAAAGGACCCACCUGCGAGAGGGCGGGUAUGAAGAGUAAGUUUAACGGCAUGUUGGGAUAAAA
rnacentral:other from 1 species